AGAAAGCAAGCAAGUUAAGAGGAAAGAGAAUGAUAAUGAAUAAAGGGCACUUCUUUAAUUGAAGGAAUCAGCAAAGGCUUUCCUAGGGAGAUGACAUUUGACCUGAAGUCUGAAUGAUGUCAAGAAGGGAGCUGUGAAAAUAUCUGGAGGAAGAGCAUUGAAGUUUGAGGAAACAGUCAUUGCAAAGGCUUUGAGAAGCACUGGAAACCUGGUCUGAAAAUUCUCAAAAUGUCUCACUAGAGAAACCUGGACUGUCAUUAUCAUUCUGCCUUGUUUGUCUCCAGUUCUCUUUGGACAUAUUAAACUUAAGAAGCAUAGAAAUCACCUACCAAACAUUAUGGAAGAAACAUCAGCAAGCACACAACAAAUCCACUUUUUUUUUUU